GACGAACGCUGGCGGCGUGCUUAACACAUGCAAGUCGAGCGGUAAGGCCUUUCGGGGUCCACGAGCGGCGAACGGGUGAGUAACACGUGGGUGAUCUGCCCUGCACUUCGGGAUAAGCCUGGGAAACUGGGUCUAAUACUGGAUAUGACCUCCUAUCGCAUGGUGGGUGGUGGAAAGAUUUAUCGGUGCAGGAUGGGCCCGCGGCCUAUCAGCUUGUUGGUGGGGUAAUGGCCUACCAAGGCGACGACGGGUAGCCGACCUGAGAGGGUGACCGGCCACACUGGGACUGAGACACGGCCCAGACUCCUACGGGAGGCAGCAGUGGGGAAUAUUGCACAAUGGGCGAAAGCCUGAUGCAGCGACGCCGCGUGAGGGAUGACGGCCUUCGGGUUGUAAACCGCUUUCAGCAGGGACGAAGCGCAAGUGACGGUACCUGCAGAAGAAGCACCGGCUAACUACGUG
rnacentral:rRNA from 1 species